rnacentral:lncRNA from 1 species
CUUGGGGUAUAUCUCAGAUAAGAGUGCUUGCCUAUCAUGGGCAAAGCCCUGGGUUUAAUCCCCAACACUGCAAAAAAAGAAAAAAAAACAUUUAAAAAUGUAAGUAAAUAAAUAAAAACAAAUAAAUAAAGGACUGGGUGUGGCUUCUAGACUGAUCCAGAGUGGUCAACAUGUAGCUUGGCCCACACCCUGUUACACCUCUCACUGCCUGCUGGGGCUUCUGUCAUGAGAGAGGACUGGCUGGGGACAGGGCAGUGUGCCUCAAACGCUUGAUACCCUGUUUAGGUUUGGGUGUUUCUUGCAUUUACUAAGUAUUCACUGCUGUGAGGCCUUCAGAUGCAUUAUCCUCUGCUGAUCUGGUGGACUUUACUGGGAAACAGUAAAGUGGGGUGGGAACUUUGAUCCCAGCUCCCUUCCUGGACCUCAGGGGCUCCAUCAGUGAGUCCAUUCACCCCUCCUCUGGCCCUUGUCCUGCUUUACCUCCCUCUGCAAGCUCACAGCUCCUACUUGCAUACCUCCAGUGGCAGGGAGCUCGCUACCUUUCAGAGUCAUCUCAGCCAUCACUAGACAGCCAUGGGAGACAUCUUUGUCUCACUGAACACAAUCCAGCUUCCCUGUGACUUUUCUUAUCAUCUCCAUGUGCACAAGUUUUCUCUCUAAUCUGAAAAAGCUCCAAAGAUAUAUAGAUAGAGAUUCCCGAGGCUGCUCCUCUUCAGACUGAAAAAUCUCAGCUCUUUCAAAUAUUGAAUAGAUUAAUGACAAAAUUAACAGCAAGUGAAGACAAGAGUUUUAGUUAGGAUGAAAAAAAAAAUCAGUUCCACGACUCUGGUGCCCUGAAGUGAGAAGCAGCAACUCUGGGGGUUCUAUUAGGAGAGGUAUGAACUCUGUUAUUUCUUCAUUUUCCCUUCAGUUGAGAUGGACUCAGUCCCCACCCACUUGAGGGUGAGUCCUGACCCAACUUUGCCCUUCCCUCUCCUGGGCUGUGUCAUCUUUGCCCAAAGCCUUAAUCUCUGUCCAUAAUGGUUGAAUUCUAAGCCUCUAUUUCCAGUUCAGAUCUCUCUCUCCCCUAAAUGCCCAGUGGAAACACCAAGCUUUGUCCUGAGAUGUCCCCAGGCUGCCCCUGGACCCAGCAUCCUUGCCCCUUUGCUCCCUGCUUGUCUCCCUCACCAAGUCACGCAUCUCCCCAGGGCAGGGCUGUGGAGCUGUGCCUGGCACCGAGCAGAAGGAGAGAGGUUUGCUAAACGCAUGAACACCUGAUGGCUUCUCACCCGGGCCCCACGGGCCAUUCUUCUAGUUUUCUUCAGUUGAAAAACCAGUAGAGACAUCCAGGUGCUGCCUGUCAGAGGACCAGGAGCCGUUUUGACUCUGGACCUCUGAAUCCCCUACUUCUUGUAUGAUCUGGAAUAUGAGGGAGAAGCCAAGGGGGACUCAGGGACUUAAGUUUGCUCAGCUAGAUGAGCUUGUUGCUUGUCCUGAUUGUGCCCCUUGCAUGGUCUUUUCGUCCUUUUCUAGUUAUCUCCAUGCAUGCUUUUAAUCCCAGGCGCCACCACCCCUCUCUUGGAUUCCUUCCAGAGCCUGCUCCCUGCUUUCCAGGCUAUUCCCCAAGCUGUGCAUGGAGACACCUUGCUGGAAUGCAUGGCUGCCCAUGUCAUGCCCUUGCCUACAACCUUACCGUAACCUUGCAUUAUCUGUAAGGUGACGAUCACACCACCCCUCUCCGGCAUCCCUUCUAGGGUCCAUUCACUGCAAGAUCCUCAGACCUCUUCCGCUCUCUGCUCCCCAGUGGGGUUGUUCCCCAUCAUUGACAGCAGCCUUGCUGUCUGCUCCCCCCAGGCUGCUCUUCCCACCCUUCUUCCACCAUGGAAGCUCUUCUCUCCCCAGGUCCCUCCCAAAUCCACAUCUUAGCCCGGGUCUGACCUCCAGACUCACCACCUCCAAACCAAACUAGGAAUCCUGCCCCUCCUGCUCAGAAAAGCCUCCUCCUGCAGUUCCCCCAGCUCAUCUAGCUGAGCAGACUUAAGGCCUUGAGUCCCCCCUUAGCUUCUCUCUCAUAUUCCAAAUCAUAUUGAUUCUAUCCUCAAAAUAGGGCUAGACUCACCCACACAUCCCCAGCUCCAUAGCUCCUCCCUGACCUGAGCUGGUGCCGUCUCUGGCUGAAGCUUGCAUGAACCUCUUCCGGAUAGGGGCCUCCCUGUCCUGCUCUCCUUGCUCCUCGUAAUCCCUUCUCAACCCAGCAGCCCAAUUAUGUUUCUUGUGAUCAAAACUCUCCAGUGGCUUCCUGGUCUCCACUGGAUUAGAAGCUAAAGUCCUUACAGUCACCCACAGAGUCCCAAAGGAGUGGACCUCUUGCAGCCUUCCCAACCCCACUCCCCACCUCCCUGCAGUCACCUCCCCCAGCCACACUGACACUCCCUCCAUGAUCCUUUCUCAGGGCCUUUGCACUUGCUGUUUUCCUUGCCUGGAAUCCUUUCCCCUCCAAGAGCUGGACACCUUCCUCACCCUCAGCUCUGUUCAGAGGAGCCAUCCCCGUGAAUUUACAUAUGUCAGCAUGCCCUUCCUUGAGGACUCUCUGCUCCUGCUCCUGUCUGGGCUUUUCUUACUGCCAUUAGACCUGCUUCAUCUACUUAUUGUUUGUUUCCUGGCUCUAGAAUUUGAUUGCUCUAGAAUUUCGGCCCAUGGGGACAGGGGUUUCAUUGUGCUGUUCCCUUGCAUACUGAACAGCGCCUGGUCCUCAGAAGACUCAGUAAAUACCUGUUGAAUGAGUCGUAGACUUACCACUACCUUCUCCUGACCUCCCAGACUAGAUGGUGUCCUCAUUGAUAUAUUCUUGGUGUCCAUACACCUGUUUUGAAACAUUUGGCACAACUGCAAUUACAUAGCUGUAUGAGGUGAGCUUUACCUUACAUCACUACUGGACUUCCAGUCCUCUAGUGGACACUAAAUAGGUGUUGUAUGAAUGAAUGAAUUAAAGUAAGUCAGAGUGUUAUUGGAGAAACUGCUCAAUAAGCAGGUGCUCCAGUCUCAGGCUGGUUGUAGGGAUGGCCCUGUCCCUCCUCAUUUACUUUGUGGCCUUCAGGUGGUCCCUUCACAGUUUCCCCAGGUGAAAAAUAAGUAUCAAGAUCACACUAUUCAGGAUGAGCUUUUAGGCCAGAAAAGACUGAUUCUGGAAGCCAGCUUGGUUCUGCUGCUGGCCUGGAGCCCUGGAUGGGGGAGCAGGGGUGUGCUGGAAUCACUGGGCAAAGAUUUGGCCUUGGGAUCUCUGCUGGCAGGCUGACUCCUGGCCGGGGGCCAGCCCUUUAGUUUCUU